rnacentral:rRNA from 1 species
GACGAACGCUGGCGGCGUGCCUAAUACAUGCAAGUCGAGCGAAGUUUUUCUGGUGCUUGCACCGGAAAAACUUAGCGGCGAACGGGUGAGUAACACGUAAAGAACCUGCCUCAUAGACUGGGACAACUAUUGGAAACGAUAGCUAAUACCGGAUAACAGCAUUAACUGCAUGGUUGAUGUUUGAAAGUUGGUUUUGCUAACACUAUGAGAUGGCUUUGCGGUGCAUUAGCUAGUUGGUGGGGUAAAGGCCUACCAAGGCGACGAUGCAUAGCCGACCUGAGAGGGUGAUCGGCCACACUGGGACUGAGACACGGCCCAGACUCCUACGGGAGGCAGCAGUAGGGAAUCUUCCGCAAUGGGCGAAAGCCUGACGGAGCAACGCCGCGUGAGUGAAGAAGGAUUUCGGUUCGUAAAGCUCUGUUGUUAGGGAAGAAUG